GAGUUUGAUUUUUAUUAUAACAGUUUGGCCAAUAUUGUGCAUUUACGAGUGAAUUUAAAAUGAGCAUAUUCCUUACAAUACUCGUGCUUUAUAUGGCUUCUAUAAACUCAGUAUCGAAUCUAAGCGUUUGGGAUUUUUUGACUAAUCCUAGCUCUACUAUAGAAGAAGACCUUACACUAAUACAAACUUUGAAUAAGGACGGCUUGCAGUUUUUCUAUCUCAAUCAAAAACUCGGACAUGAUAAAAGAAUACAAAUGGAUUUGAAUAAUGUAUCUGCUAUAGUUAACUAUUGGAUGAAAGGUUUACCGUUAAAAGUUACUGUUCAUGGAUGGCAUGGAUCGGAGAAUGUUAUCUAUGGUGUAUAUGAAAUCAACGAUGCAUACAUCGGCCUUGGAGGGUUCAAUAUAAUCACAGUGGAUUGGAGUAGUUUUGCAAGUUACUCUGAAUAUGCAUAUUCUGCAGCCGUGGCCCUAACCGUUGGUACUGGGGUUGCCGUAUUUUUGGAAAAUGUGGUUAAUCUAACAAAAAUUUCACCAACGGAUAUACAUUUAAUUGGCUAUAAUCUCGGAGCCCACGUUGUAGGAAGAUGUGCUUAUCGUUUUCGAUUGGGGAAAAUCGGCAGAAUUACUGGAUUAGAUCCAAUCAAGAUUCUAAGAAAUAACAAAAACAUCCAUGUACCACCUUUGAACAGAGAUAACGCCCAAUUUGUCGACGUUAUUCACACUUCAGGAGGGAAAUUUGGUUACAAUGGACCUUUAGGUCACGUUGACUUUUAUCCCAAUGAGGGAAAAGUUGGUCAACCGGGAUGUCAUGAUUUAUUGUCACCAUUUUUAGAAUUACAGAAAUGCAGCCAGCAAAGAUCCUAUGAAUUUUAUAGAGAUUCUGUGAAAUAUAAUAGUUCUUUAAUUGGGACUAAAUGUAACUUGUAUGAUGAUUUUGUGUACCAUCGCUGUGAUAACAACGAAAAAAUACCUAUGGGACACAACGCAAAGCCAAGGUAUUCAAUCGACAUUCCGUGUAGCAUUUAGAGGAGUAUAUGGAAGUGUAAUACACGGUAGCGAAAUGUGUUUAGGGAAGUUUACGGAAGUUGACAUUUGCCUAGCCGGACUCGAGGGAACUAAGGCGAUGCUUCAUAGGAUCGCUGAACGCUUUCCGCACUAAAACUCACUAGCCGGAAGAGUGACGGGAUACUCCACGGAGCCUGGCCGCGGUAGCAGCUCAUUACGAUGUCUAAGUUAAGGUGGCGCUACGCGCAGAUUUUCGGGGUGCCUGGCUCCAGGGAGCUUAUCCUGGUCUUUCGCACGGAUGAGGUAACUCCACGGUUUUAUAGAGGAUCAAAGGGUCUCCAGGAUAAAAUCCGGAAGCACUUAUCAAACCCCGCAACACACGGAAACAUGUUGUAAGAAUUUGGUAGUUUGCUAGGCUACCAAAAGCUACCCACGACCAAAGGGGAACACUUCGGUCGUGACCUAUGAGCCGCACCGCGUGUUAGCCCGAAGGCUAAGUCGGUGGAACUCAUAGGCUUUGUACACGCAGUGGUGAAUGAACACCAAAGAUUUAUUUAAAAAAAGGGAAAAGAAGACAUAAUAUAAAAAAAAAUAUAAAUUAAAUAACAAAAGAAAGUUAGGGUAAUCAGAGGUAUUGUAUUUUGCAAUGAUGCACAACGUGCAAUAAUAGAUAUUUGUGAAUAAUAAUAAUAAUAAUAAUAAUAAACUGGCAAUUUCGAAAAAGAUAAUAAUUGUUGCCUCAUGGCAAUUGUUACAAAAGAGUGUAUUAUUUGGGCACAGGCGUUUAACACAUGAUAACAUACACAAUAAUGUUGGGACAUGGCAGUCAUGUGCGUAUAAUAAAAGUGGGACGGGAAUUAGGUAAAGAAUAUAUAUAUAUUUGCUUUGGACUGAGCGAACCCACGGAUCAGCCCACGAGGUUCGGCGGAACACAUAUUAUUUUUAUAUUAAAUUUUAUUCGCCAACCAUAGGGUUACCGUCCGGCAUAUCGCUAAGGACGGUAAGGAUGGGAGGUAACAAAAAAAACUGCGCCAGGCGCAACAGUUGACACAUCUUAAAAAGUUAUCCUAACGCAAAUAAAAAGGAAUAUGGGGGGGGUGGAUUUUAAUAUAUUACAAUAUUUUUGAUGGACGACGAGGCUGCUGACGGUUGACCGACGGCUGCGAUGGGCUGGCCAGAUGGCCGUCGACACACACGCGGUCGACAUGGCCCGUCUGCAUCGGUCAGUGGCUGAAAGUUGCUUCGCCCGACAUCGAGCCCGUGGUGACGUUUAGCACAUCAUGGCGUAGACACAGCGAUGUUGUAGAAAGAAAAACGAACUUCGCCGGGUAUACAUGUGUUUGUGUGGACACGUGGUUUGGACAGCUGAAUUAACGGUGAGGCUGGGCGCACGAAAAAGAGCCACGACCGGUUCAAAUGGCGGUGGAAAAAGUAGUCCGAUGGAGCUGGCUGGACGGUGGCCGGUGUUGAUAGUUGAGAUGUUGAGGUGGGGAAGUGCAGGGUAGGUGUAUUGCGGGACUUUUACAAUAAUGUGGAAUUUUGAUAACUGUACUGCGGCGAGUGCACCGACGGACGCGACAAAAACGCUGGAGGUGACGGGAGGCGGGCAACCGCGGCACGUCGACGACGAACACUGCACGAGGACGGGGGGGACGGGGGACAUUUAUUGCAUAGCACUGCGGUCAUUUCUUCAUUAGCGCGCGAUAUUCAUAACAAUAUAUGGAUAAGGUAUGUUUGUUAAUGGUACUAUAGGUACAGGUAUGUUUAUGACAUUGAUAAUAUUACUGCAAAAAAUGCUGUGACGUUACAAUGUUAAUUAAUACUAUUCACCAUA